rnacentral:rRNA from 1 species
UACGUAGGGGGCAAGCGUUGUCCGGAUUUAUUGGGCGUAAAGAGCGUGUAGGCGGCCAGGUAGGUCUGGUGUGAAAACUCGAGGCUCAACCUCGAGAGGUCAUCGGAAACCAUUUGGCUAGAGUCCGGAAGAGGAGAGUGGAAUUCCUGGUGUAGCGGUGAAAUGCGCAGAUAUCAGGAAGAACACCCGUGGCUAAGGCGGCUCUCUAGUACGGUACUGACGCUGAGACGCGAAAGCGUGGGGAGCGAACAGG